ensembl:snRNA U6 U6 spliceosomal RNA
GUGCUUACUUGGUCAACAUGUAUACUGAAAUUGGAACAGCACAGAGAAGAUAAACAUAGUUAAUGUGCAAUGAUGGUUCACACAUUUGUGAAUCACUCCAUAGCUGU